UGGGUUUGACAUGGAUCGGGAGUGCUCAGAGAUGGGUGUGCCUCUUUUGGGGUCGGUUCACAGGUGGUGCAUGGCUGUCGUCAGCUCGUGUCGUGAGAUGUUGGGUUAAGUCCCGCAACGAGCGCAACCCUUGUUCACUGUUGCCAGCACGUUAUGGUGGGGACUCAGUGGAGACCGCCGGGGUCAACUCGGAGGAAGGUGGGGAUGACGUCAAGUCAUCAUGCCCCUUAUGU
rnacentral:rRNA from 1 species